AAUGCCCGCAAGGGUGACCCAGCAACGCCGCGUGGAGGAUGAAUGCCGUAAGGUUGUAAACUCCUGUUAGAGGGGACGAAUGAUUCCGAUUGUAUCGGAAGUUGACUGUACCCUCAGAGAAAGCCCCGGCUAACUACGUGCCAGCAGCCGCGGUAAUACGUAGGGGGCAAGCGUUGUCCGGAUUUACUGGGUGUAAAGGGCGCGCAGGUGGGCUUGAUAGUUAGAGGUGAAAUCCUGUGGCUUAACUGCAGAACUGCCUUUAAUACUUCAAGUCUUGAGUGCGGAAGAGAGAGACGGAAUUCCAGGUGUAGUAGUGAAAUACGUAGAUAUCUGGAAGAACACCAGUUGCGAAGGCGGUCUCUUGGUCCGUAACUGACACUUAGGCGCGAAAGCGUGGGGAGCAAA
rnacentral:rRNA from 1 species